ensembl:lncRNA
UUAUUGCCGAAAGAAGGUUGUGUUAUGAACUGAUCUCACUAGUGUGUAAGACUGUGUUGUGUGUGUGUUUCUGAGGGCUCGUGUGUGUCAUGAAUAAGGACAAAGUUAGUUUUUUCAGCAAGAGUGAAUGGUUUUGAGUGGAGAGUUUCAUUUUGACCUGAAAUAGGAAGUAUGGGGGAUUGGGUGAGACGUUAUGGAUUUGUGUUUAGAGUUUUGAGAAGAGGAGUCACAGUUUCAAGAAAUGUGUUUAAGCAAUCAAGAAAAACUGUAAUAGAGAUACAUGUACUGGUCGCUGAUUGUCAAUCAUCAGGGAACGUUCUGGAAAGCUUCUCUCAAAGGAAACUGUUUGAUGUUGAGCGGAUGUUGAGUUUCUCUCGUAUCUUCACCAGCAGCGCGUGAGAUCGAUCUCCAUCAGUAAUGAGGUGAGUCAAAACUACGAAUUCUGUUUCAGAAACUCCCCGUGAGUUUGAUCAAAUGAGCACUCUGUGAUAUACCUGAUGACUGGUGUGUUCGGUGUAAAUAUGAGCUGAGUCGAUUCAGCAUCUGAGCUGUGUUUCUGAACUACAGAAGAAACUGGACGCGUUUAUUUGAGAUGUUUCUAACUCUCAUCCAAACAGUGCAGCUCUUUAGUGGUUUUCACAAUAACUCUAGAGACUGAUGAUCUCUUCUGAACAGCAUCGUUCAGCUCAGGUCAGAGGUUCAGUUCAUCAUCAUCAUCAUCAUCAUCAGAAUCAUGAGGAGUUUGUUCAGUCUCAUCAGCACCAGAAAAUCUAACUUAUAAAACCUAUCCUGUUUGGGCAGAAAUAUAAAUAUGUGUUUAAGUGAUCUCAUGUGGAUCUGUGAGUGAGUUCAUCUGAAUGAUCAUCUUUUAAUUUCUGACACACUUUGACUUUCAUCUGCUUCCCGCUUCAUUCUGCACCACUGAGGAAGUGAAGCAGCAAACUCACCCCUCAGUGAACUAGUUUACUCUUCCUGCUAGUUGACCAUUNUGGUUUGUUAGGAGGACAAUAUUUGUCUGAGAUACAACUAUUUGAAAAUCUGGAAUCUGAGGGAGCAAAAAAAUCUAAAUAUUGAGAAAAUCAUCUUUAAAGUUGUUCAAAUGAAGUUCUUAGCAAUGCAUAUUACUAAUCAAAAAUUAAGUUUUGAUAUAUUUACAGUAGGAAAUUUACUAAAUAUCUUCAUGGAACAUGAUCUUUACUUAAUAUCCUAAUGAUUUUUGUCAUAAAAGAGAAAUGUAUAAUUGUGAUCCAUACAAUGUAUUGUUGUCUAUUGCUACAAAUAUACCUGUGCUACUGAUGACUGCUUCUGUGCUGCAGGGACACAGAUGACCUUUUUUAGUUUCGAAAAUGUAGGAAGUUUUCCAUGUGGGUUAGAGUUAGAAUUUGUUUUUUUUUUAAUAUUAAAAAUAAAUAUUCAGAUAUUCAGUGUUAUAUUUUGGGUGAAAAUAAGUUGUAAGAAAUGUUUUUUGUUAUCUUUAAAUAACAAUUUAAUCACAACAAGAACAUUUUAGCAUUCUUAGAAUAUUAAAACCAAACGUUCAGAUAGCAUUAUAUUUUAGGUGAAAAUAAAGUUAGCAGAAUGCUAUAAGAAACGUUUUUUUAACCUUUAAAUAACAUUAUACUCACGAAAAGGGAACUGGACAUUUUGGUGUUUUAGGAUUGUCAAAACAAU